rnacentral:rRNA from 1 species
GAUGAACGCUGGCGGCGUGCCUAAUACAUGCAAGUCGGGCGAACGGACGAGAAGCUUGCUUCUCUGAUGUUAGCGGCGGACGGGUGAGUAACACGUGGAUAACCUACCUAUAAGACUGGGAUAACUUCGGGAAACCGGAGCUAAUACCGGAUAAUAUUUUGAACCGCAUGGUUAAAAAGUGAAAGACGGUCUUGCUGUCACUUAUAGAUGGAUCCGCGCUGCAUUAGCUAGUUGGUAAGGUAACGGCUUACCAAGGCAACGAUGCAUAGCCGACCUGAGAGGGUGAUCGGCCACACUGGAACUGAGACACGGUCCAGACUCCUACGGGAGGCAGCAGUAGGGAAUCUUCCGCAAUGGGCGAAAGCCUGACGGAGCAACGCCGCGUGAGUGAUGAAGGUCUUCGGAUCGUAAAACUCUGUUAUUAGGGAAGAACAUAUGUGUAAGUAACUGUGCACAUCUUGACGGUACCUAAUCAGAAAGCCACGGCUAACUACGUG